UAGAGAGGCAGCCAACAAGAAGCUCUGCAGGCAUGAAGCGGGUGCGAUCCUGGGUUUGCCCAUCAAUAGGAUGAAGCCACAACCAUACGAAGAAGAGUGAUUAAGAUGAUGGGAGGAGUUGGACAGGACAAGUUGUCUUAGGCUGCCCAUCUAUCAACAAUAGAAGUCCAAGAGAGAGAUGCCUCCUUUUGACUCGGGUAUCUCUGAAACCUAUUGGCAGCCAGUGUAGCUCCAUCAGUAAAAGAGUAACAUGGUCUCUCCAAGAUGACCCAGAGACCAACCUGACUGCUGAAUUCUGAACCAACUGAAGCUUCUGGACUAUGUACAAAGGCAGCCCCAUGUAGAGCGCAUUACAGAAGUCAAGUCUGGAGGUCCUUCACAUAACAGUAUACAUAAUAGUCACCAUUCUCCAG